AAGCACUGGCUCUGCCAUGGCAUCAAGAGGGUCCAGGCCAUUGUAGUACAGCAAGCCAUAGCACUGCCAGUGCUCCACAGCUCAUUUUUUAUUGUGUUGUGUAAUACCUAUCAGGAAAACAAGCUGUGAACCAAAGGAUUCCAAAUGCAGCUCCACCAAAGUACAGUUCAAGGAACUAGCAAAGUAGACAUGAACUUUGUACUAAAGUACUCAGUAGACAGGUUGGCAUAGAGGAACACACAGAAAUAAAAGCUAAGCAAUACAGUAUCAGAGUAAGGUUCUCAGGCCUAUGCUGAAGCUGUGUGAAAGUGAUUGCACUGGGAAUCAGGUUUCACAGGGAAGACGGAAGGGCAGUGGCACAUUUCUGUCCUGGCACAUCUCUCAGUCUGAACUGAACUGGAAGCACUUUGCUGUAAGGAUGGACUCUGCCACCUUGAGAGAAUGUGAGGAUGCUCUAUAUAUAGCUGAGAAGGAAAGUGUGUAUCUCCAGGGAGCUGGAUGCAGUUCAGCGGACUACAAACUGGAAAGCCAACAAUGAAAUGAUUCCUCUUCGCCGCCGGAUGCAGGAUAACCUUGUGUCAGUCUCCAAGAGCCAGGACCCGCAGCGGAGCUCUCGGCCCCACACUCCCACACGAAUGGGGCCGGACCAGGAAAGCGCUUGGCUUUGUCCUGAGCACGGUCAGCGCUCAUCAAAACAACCACACGAUGGUGGUGUCGGCUCACAAAAGGACACACACCGAGCCCAGCUCGAAACCACCCCCAGGACACAGCCAAGUCGGAAAUGUCCCUGCUCCCUAAUCAACUGUGUCACGACAAAAAGAUUUCCCCAGGCUUCCCCUUCCAAGUGCAAAGCCUUCUUUGCACCACAGUCCAAGAGCAACAUGAAUUCCUUUACCUUAAUAAAGCUUUGCACUCUCCCAGA